rnacentral:rRNA from 1 species
CCUACGGGAGGCAGCAGUAGGGAAUAUUGCUCAAUGGGGGAAACCCUGAAGCAGCCAAGUAGCGUGAAGGAUGACUGCCCUAUGGGUUGUAAACUUCUUUUAUAUGGGAAUAAAAUGUUCCACGUGUGGGAUUUUGUAUGUACCAUAUGAAUAAGGAUCGGCGAACUCCGUGCCAGCAGCCGCGGUAAUACGGAGGAUCCGAGCGUUAUCCGGUUUUAUUGGGUUUAAGGGGAGCGAAGUUGGAUUGUUAAGUAAGUUGUGAAAGUUUGCGGCUCAACCGUAAAAUUGCAGUUGAAACUGGCAAUCUUGAGUACAGUAGAGGUGGGCAGAAUGCGUGGUGUAGCGGUGAAAUGCUUAGAUAUCACGAAGAACUCCGAUUGCGAAGGCAGCUCACUGGACUGCAACUGACACUGAGGCUCGAAAGUGUGGGUAUCAAACAGGAUUAGAUACCCUGGUAGUC